GGUGUGGCUCAGGGGUAGAGCACGUGCUUAGCACGCAUGAGGUCCUGGGUUCCAUCCCCAGCCUCUCCA
rnacentral:tRNA from 1 species